CCUACGGGAGGCUGCAGUGAGGAAUAUUGGUCAAUGGACGAGAGUCUGAACCAGCCAAGUAGCGUGCAGGAUGACUGCCCUACGGGUUGUAAACUUCUUUUAUAUGGGAAUAAAACAGGGUAUGCAUACCCCCUUGUAUGUACCAUAUGAAUAAGGAUCGGCUAACUCCGUGCCAGCAGCCGCGGUAAUACGGAGGAUCCGAGCGUUAUCCGGAUUUAUUGGGUUUAAAGGGAGCGUAGGUGGAUUGUUAAGUCAGUUGUGAAAGUUUGCGGCUCAACCGUAAAAUUGCAGUUGAAACUGGCAGUCUUGAGUACAGUAGAGGUAGGCGGAAUUCGUGGUGUAGCGGUGAAAUGCUUAGAUAUCACGAAGAACUCCGAUUGCGAAGGCAGCUCGCUGGACUGCAACUGACACUGAUGCUCGAAAGUGUGGGUAUCGAACAGGAUUAGAUACCCCUGUAGUC
rnacentral:rRNA from 1 species